GUCUAUGGCCAUACCACGCUGAAAGGUCUGAGCUCAGAAGCUAAGCAGGGUUGGGCUGGUUAGUACUUGGAUGGGAGAAGAGUAUAUACCAGGGUGAGCUGACC
rnacentral:rRNA from 1 species